ACGGGAGGCAGCAGUGGGGAAUAUUGCACAAUGGGGGGAACCCUGAUGCAGCGACGCCGCGUGAGGGAAGAAGGUUUUCGGAUUGUAAACCUCUGUCCUUGGUGACGAUAAUGACGGUAGCCAAGGAGGAAGCCACGGCUAACUACGUGCCAGCAGCCGCGGUAAUACGUAGGUGGCAAGCGUUGUCCGGAAUUACUGGGUGUAAAGGGAGCGUAGGCGGGAAAGCAAGUUGGGAGUGAAAUGUAUGGGCUCAACCCAUAAACUGCUUUCAAAACUGUUCUUCUUGAGUGAAGUAGAGGCAGGCGGAAUUCCCAGUGUAGCGGUGAAAUGCGUAAAUAUUAGGAGGAACACCAGUGGCGAAGGCGGCCUGCUGGGCUUUAACUGACGCUGAGGCUCGAAAGCGUGGGUAGCAAACAGGAUUAGAUACCCUGGUA
rnacentral:rRNA from 1 species